CCUGUGAAAGAGAGACUUGCCCAAGAGACGGACUUUCCCACCAGAAAAUCUGCCCCUGAAAGAAAUGAAUGGAAUAAGAAUAUUUGUAAAAUAAGUUGAAAAGAUUCACAUAUCAAAUAACUUUUUCCCCCACAAAUCUAUAACCCUGUCUUGUUUCUUCUGCUUAGCCAUGUUAAAAAUAGUUAACUGACCGCACAUCAUUCACAAUGUGUUAUGCAAUAGAGGUGCUGUCCAACCUUCGUGAACCUGAAUGCCUUCUCGCCAUGGCAGACCCUAAGGCAGCCUUGCCUUAGCGAACCUGAACGUAGCCUUUGAGUUAUAAUAUGGGCUCAUACACUUCCACUUGGACUCAGCAGCUUACAUUUCUGGCUACUGUUGAAGAAGCUGCUUUGGAUAGCAGAGUUGAAGGGGACUGGAGGCUAGAAGGUGACUUGGCCUUUGGUUGGCUGAUGAGUG
rnacentral:lncRNA from 1 species